UACGUAGGGGCGAGCGUUGUCCGAAGUUACUGGGCGUAAAGCGCACGUAGGCGGCCUGUAAGUUACAUCUGAAAGGUGACAGCUCAACUGUCAAUGGUGGUGUAAGACUGCAGAGCUUGAGGUGAGCAAAAGAAUGUGGAACUCCGAGUGUAGCGGUGGAAUGCGUAGAGAUUGGAAGAACACCGGAGGCGAAGGCGGCUUGCUGGGCUUG
rnacentral:rRNA from 1 species